UACGGAGGGGGCUAGCGUUGUUCGGAAUUACUGGGCGUAAAGGGCUCGUAGGCGGCCAACUAAGUCGGAUGUGAAAUCCCCAGGCUUAACCUGGGAACUGCAUCCGAUACUGGAUGGCUUGAAUUCGGGAGAGGGAUGCAGAAUUCCAGGUGUAGCGGUGAAAUGCGUAGAUAUCUGGAGGAAUACCGGUGGCGAAGGCGGCAUCCUGGACCGACAUUGACGCUGAGGAGCGAAAGCUAGGGGAGCAAACGGG
rnacentral:rRNA from 1 species